GCGUAUCUCCAUUUUAAUGGGAAGUAUUAGCGUAUCUCCCACUUUUCUCCCCUGCCGUUUGUAUACCGUUUCAUAUUGUUAAUGGACGAAGCUACAAGUCUUCUCUUUCAUCAAAUCGAUCCAUAACAAAUACGAGUCUGCUUCACCUAACCAAAACACACACAUACUCCAUCUCUAAAUGCUUUGAAGAUAAACAAAUCAACCGUAAUCCUGCAACUUUAGCUCAGAGAAUCGGAUAAGAAAAGAACAGGUGAUGAAUCAAGGGUAAUGGCGCCGAGUGAGUGUCGCCUGCGGUCGGCGUUAGAGGCGACUGUCACUCAAUCGCGUACAAGGUUAGUCUUUGAAAAAACUCUUUGCACGUUAGAAAUCAGUGAUUGGGCAUUAUUUUGUUGUUUAAAAAUGAAAAUGGGUUUAUUAGUUUGUCGAAGAAUCUGCUCUGUUGCCGGUGUUGUUUGUUGAUUAAAAUGAAAAUGGGUUUGUUGAUGUGUUGAAGAAGUUGCUCUACUGCUGGUGUUUUUUUAUUAAUUAAAAUGAAAAUGGGUUUGUUAAUUUAUUGAAGCAGCUGCUGGCAUUGUUAUUGUGACUUUAUUUAUCCAAUUGAUGAGCUUAUGAGCUAAUAGUAUUGUUUGAUCAAGCUUGUGUUCUUAAUAGUGGAGUUGAUAUUCUUAAAAAUGAAUUUAUGAUUAUGAGAAUAUGAAAAUUGAAUGGCAUCAUAGAGAUCUAGAUUAAUCACCAUCGUAUAUGUUUCUAAAUAAAGGAAUAAGCAGCAACUGAUUUGAAACUUAAGACUUUAGGGAUAUGUAUGUGCAACUGAAUGAAUCAUCAGUUGCUAUCUUGUAAGUCAAUACUAGCAUAUUACUUAAUGGCAAGUGAAACUAUUUUAUGUGUAUUGCUGCCUAUCAAAAUGUUUAUGUUUGAAGUUAUCUCCUUUUAGGAAAUUGAAUGCUUCUGUGAGUUCUCUGGUAAGGGCUAUACAACUAGUUCUAAUAGAUUCCUUCAUGUGCAUUAAUUAGCUUAGUAGUUUAUUGACCUAUAUCCAAUGUCUAUUCCCCUUUUCUGUAGCCGUCUAGUUUUAUGAGCAUGUGAAGUGAACUUUUGUUUUAUGUUUCAGGACUUGGGAUUAGAGUGUAUAACAUUCAAUAUCUUUUUAUCAAAGAACUGAUAUAUGUCAAUGUAGUGCGAUCUGGUCUUUAUUAGCUUCUUGAUUUGCCAGGAUGUUUGACAACCAUCUUUGACCAUGAUUGCCAACAUAUAAGCUGCUACAUAGUGUCUCAGGAAUCACAGCAAAUUAUUAUCAUAAUAUGGUGAUUUUGAAUCCAAAACUUGGUAGUGUCAAGAAAAUAGACCCCUGUUUAUUUAUCUUCAUGUUUUGUAUGCGGCUGCAAUAGACUAUUAUAAGUUACUUUUAGUUUUAUCAAGUUUUUUUUCCUUAAAUUUCAUCGAGUCUUGGAGUCUUUGUAAUAUAGAGUCUAAGUGAAGAAUACUUGGGUGAAAUCUUGUAUUCUCUCUUCCAGUAAUAUAAUCAUCCUUUGUGUUUUUAUCUUUUUAUUUUGGAAUCAGAGCAUACUUUAUUAUAGAAGGACUUAGACUCUAUAUUACAAAGACUCAGCGGUUUCUUUUAACUGAGUUAAUAGUGUUGUUAGGUUAAACUAAGUUUGGCUUCAUAAGAUUCAUAGUAGAGUGUAGAACUGGGUACAAUGUUGGGUUAGACAAGUCAAAAGUCUUAUCAAGUAAUUGUUCUGCUUACUGAUUUGGUAAUUGCAACAUUGCUAAAUAGUUCAAUUUGUCCUUUUAUUUUGUUGAAUUUAUUGUAUGUCAUAUUACUUCAUUUAAUUAUUUUCUCAGAUCUUGUAGGUGAAAAUUUCAGCUUCAAAGGCCAAGCUAAUCAUCCAGCAAUUCAGUGAAACCAAGACACAGUGGCUCAUAAAUUGUUGUUGGUGAUCCAGCCAUUCGGGUGCUUGCCAGUCCUAGACGAGAAAACUUUCAACGCGGCGCAUAAAUUGUUGUUGAUCUACUUUAUAUAUUUUGACCUUUGUGAUUUGUGAAUACAUGGUUUGAUUCCAGUGUUUACAACUUUGAUACUGUGUAUAACUUAAAAAGCAAAUGAAACAAGUAGGAAAUGUGUUUUUAUUUUUUUUAUUCGAUCUAUCUAUUUAUUUUUUGUUUGGAAAUGUAACAAUUUAUAGCUGGCAAAGUACUAGAGUUGUAUACUUGUAUUUAAUUCAUUAUUAUUAUUUUUUUAAUGACUCAGUA
rnacentral:lncRNA from 1 species